UAUUCAGUAGUUUAGUUGGUUUAAGCGCUGGACUAGCGAUACGGAAUCGUGGGUUCGAAUCACACCAAAACAA
rfam:Aedes albopictus isolate Foshan contig58937, whole genome shotgun sequence.